UAAAUUGUAGUUUAAUAAAAUAUUAUAUUUUGAGURUAAAGUUAAUUUAAAAGAUUCUGUUUGA
rnacentral:tRNA from 1 species